GACGAACGCUGGCGGCGUGCUUAACACAUGCAAGUCGAACGGAAAGGCCCUGCUUUUGUGGGGUGCUCGAGUGGCGAACGGGUGAGUAACACGUGAGUAACCUGCCCUUGACUUUGGGAUAACUUCAGGAAACUUGGGCUAAUACCGGAUAGGAGCUCCUGCUGCAUGGUGGGGGUUGGAAAGUUUCGGCGGUUGGGGAUGGACUCGCGGCUUAUCAGCUUGUUGGUGGGGUAGUGGCUUACCAAGGCUUUGACGGGUAGCCGGCCUGAGAGGGUGACCGGCGACAUUGGGACUGAGAUACGGCCCAGACUCCUACGGGAGGCAGCAGUGGGGAAUAUUGCACAAUGGGCGGAAGCCUGAUGCAGCAACGCCGCGUGCGGGAUGACGGCCUUCGGGUUGUAAACCGCUUUCGCCUGUGACGAAGCGUGAGUGACGGUAAUGGGUAAAGAAGCACCGGCUAACUACGUG
rnacentral:rRNA from 1 species